UACGGAGGGGGCUAGCGUUGUUCGGAAUUACUGGGCGUAAAGCGCACGUAGGCGGCUUUGUAAGUUAGAGGUGAAAGCCCGGGGCUCAACUCCGGAAUUGCCUUUAAGACUGCAUCGCUAGAAUUGUGGAGAGGUAAGUGGAAUUCCGAGUGUAGAGGUGAAAUUCGUAGAUAUUCGGAAGAACACCAGUGGCGAAGGCGACUUACUGGACACAUAUUGACGCUGAGGUGACG
rnacentral:rRNA from 1 species